rnacentral:rRNA from 1 species
UUUCCUACGGGGCGCAGCAGUGGGGAAUAUUGCACAAUGGGGGAAACCCUGAUGCAGCGACGCCGCGUGAAGGAAGAAGUAUUUCGGUAUGUAAACUUCUAUCAGCAGGGAAGAAAAUGACGGUACCUGACUAAGAAGCCCCGGCUAACUACGUGCCAGCAGCCGCGGUAAUACGUAGGGGGCAAGCGUUAUCCGGAUUUACUGGGUGUAAAGGGAGCGUAGGCGGUUCAGCAAGUCAGAAGUGAAAGCCCGGGGCUCAACUCCGGGACUGCUUUUGAAAUUGUUGAACUAGAUUGCAGGAGAGG